CUUCACUGCAAAGCAACAAAAGCCACCGCCCCCCACCCCCCCCUUCUCUUUUUAAAUAAUUGUACGGCACCCGCCGCAUUUUCCGCUCGACGCGGCAUUCUUUGAAGUUUCUCUCUCUCUCUCUCUGUCUCUCACUUCUCUCUAUCUUUAUAUGAUUCCCGUCCAGUCGUUUUUAGAAGAAGAAACAACAAUGGUUGGACAGACAACAUCAUCAUCAUCCUUGAAUUUCAUGGAAGAGCUCGACUUCUUUGACCAAAUGGACGACCUCAUCGACUUCCCAUCAGACGACCUCAUCGACUUCCCCUCCGACGACAUCGACGCCAUUCUUUCCUGCCCCGGCGGCGGCGACGCCGUCAAACCCAAUUUCUUCUCCGCUGCCGACAACAAAACCGACGAUGACGGUACCAGCUCAUUCCUUCCGCCCAGCAUUUGGGCCGCUCACCCGGGUUCCGACCCGGGUUUCCCCAACCACAGCGCCUCCGACCUCUCCGCUGAGCUGUCCGUUCCGGUAAGUUUAAUCCUUACACGUCUCCGUUUCCUGAACAUCAUUUAAUCUGGCGUUCCAUUUUCUUUCGUUAUUACGUCACCGGCUUUGUCUUUUUUAUUUCUGGAUAUUUGGUUUUUUCCCCCGCCCACAUUUUCACCUUUCUAGCGCGUUUAUGGGUUUCGAAAUAUUCUGAUUUUCCGAUUUGAUUAACCAGAAGGGGCAAAUUAGUAAAAGGCAUUGGUAGGUCCAUCUAUCUCUAGGGUAUUUUAGUAACUGAACAAAGCUGUCGGUGCUGAGGUGGAUAUCUUGCUUGGACUUAUUAUAUGACGGUUGGUGCUUUAGUUAUGGAUGUCACGUGGCUAGUAACGUGGGUUGCUGAAAUUAUGAUCUUAGACAUUAUUAUAAGGAAAGCUGAAAAUUAAUAUCUUUUUUUUUUAAAAUCAUUUGUAUCCAAUCAUGCUAAUGGUUUGGUGGCUGAAUUCAAUUUUGUUUCCCGCGAUUUAAGGAGUGGUUGGUGCUUUGAAUUUAAACCUUUGAUUUUGACUUUUAAUCAAUGUU
rnacentral:lncRNA from 1 species